UGAAGGCUACGCCAAGCUCCGGAGGCACCUUCCGCAGGAAUAUAUUGAGAGACGGCUCAGCAAGGUGCAAACCCUCCGAGCUGCAAUCAGUAUCAUGUUUCCAGCAAUCUGUACAAGACAACAAUACAGCAACCUUGGCGCUGGAACGCUAUUGACGACGUCCUCCAUUAUCAGAAUACCACGUAAAGAGACACCGCACUUCACUCAGAUUGAUGUGUUUCAUCAUCAAGAUUGCUCACAUAACUGAGAGGACAAGAACGGUUCUUUACAUUGGAUUUGUCAGCAAUGAAGUUUGCAUUAUGAUACAACAUAAUGUGCAUCUUGUGAGAUAUAAUACAUCAGAGGAGACACACCCUAAGGAACAUGUAUCAGUGUCUAAGUAAUAAUGGCAUAAAACGGGAGUACUCCCAUGUCUAACAUGCUUUGCUCACAAUCCACUACUUGGUAAAGGUGCAGGGGUAUUAUAACAUGUUCAAAAUACUUUACCACCUGUGGUGGCCGGUCCAUAAAGGUCUACAGCAAAUGAUGUAUCCGAUAAGUGUAAUAAAAAUGACAGUGCACAUAUUGGUAAAUAA